rnacentral:lncRNA from 1 species
AUCGAUCCACAUUCUCUCCCUAAUAAAUUCCUCAUCGCAAAAAGAUCAGCAAAUCUGCUUGAAAUCGUCCACUUCACUCUUUAAUAUGUGAUGUUGGUAAAGCAUGCUAAAUCGGAAAAGGAAUACAAAAUGCAACAAUAGAGUAUUAAUUUAAGGUACGAGCAUGCCUGCCCUCAUUAUUGUUUUGAAAAUUUUCACUGACUAGUUAGUUUUCUUAAUGUUAGAAUAAUACAAUCGGAAAAGAUAACCAUAUAAUCACUGGAUAGGUAAAACCUCUCAUUUAUUAUUGGUUUAUAGAUAGUUUCAUUAAUCUUGUAACUUUUUCAAUGCCCUUGAAGUAGUUGUUUUAUGCCCUAGCACGUAGUUUCUUACUUAUGUAUUCUUAUUGAACGUAUCUGAGACUAGUUGCUCCAUCCUAGAUUCCUAGAUGGUCACGUUUUUUUGUAGGGCGAUGUUGCAACAAUAAAUGAGAAAGCAAACCAGGAUGCUAAUAUUGAUAGAAUUCGUGAAGAUUGGUCGACUUAUGUGGCUACCUCUAUUUUAAGUGACAAACCAUAUUUUAGGUGUCGACGAAUAUAUUGACAAAUAUUUUUUUAUUAACGUAAAAAUAAUUGUAGUAGACAUGAUAAAUUUGGGAUGGUUGCGGGUGUGGGCUUUGGGUUGGGGCAGAUGCAGAUUUGGUGACAAAAGGAUAGUUGUUGAGCCUUGUUUUUGUAAUAACCGAACAAAUAAUAGUAAAUAAAAAUAAAUAAUUUCUUUCCUCUAAACUAACUAAAAGUCUAAUAAUAACAAUGGUAAAGCUUGUAUUAUUGUAAUGUCUUG